UUCCAGACUCCUACGGGAGGCAGCAGUGGGGAAUAUUGCACAAUGGGGGGAACCCUGAUGCAGCGACGCCGCGUGGGUGAAGAAGCGCCUCGGCGCGUAAAGCCCUGUCAGCAGGGAAGAAAAUGACGGUACCUGAAGAAGAAGCCCCGGCUAACUACGUGCCAGCAGCCGCGGUAAUACGUAGGGGGCAAGCGUUAUCCGGAUUUACUGGGUGUAAAGGGGGCGCAGACGGCGAUGCAAGCCAGGAGUGAAAGCCCGGGGCCCAACCCCGGGACUGCUCUUGGAACUGCGUGGCUGGAGUGCAGGAGGGGCAGGCGGAAUUCCUGGUGUAGCGGUGAAAUGCGUAGAUAUCAGGAGGAACGCCGGUGGCGAAGGCGGCCUGCUGGACUGCGACUGACGUUGAGGCCCGAAAGCGUGGGGAGCAAACAGGAUUAGAUACCCCAGUA
rnacentral:rRNA from 1 species